GAAUACCAAAGCAAACAGACGCUUGUACUUUUUGCAGCACUUAAAACAAAUUUUAAUUGCGUGAAAAUCAACACAAAAGUUUUUUAUGACAUAGUAUCCUAAAUUGAAAAGUAUCAAUCGGAAAGAUAAUCAUAUUUUCUUGGAUACUUCUGGCCCUAAACAUACAUUGCUUGGAACUGUUACUCAUGGACAAAUGAUGUCACAUAUGAUUCGUACCAAAUUGCAACAAGGAUUUUUGUCGAAUGUUUCGAGUAAUUGGAUUAUAAAAAAUCCAACACACAAGAAACGAAAUGAAAAAAAUCCCAUUUCAACCGAAAACAAGGACGAUCAAUACUUCGAAAGGCGAAAACGUAACAACGAAGCAGCCAAAAAGUCUCGAGAUGCUAGGAAACUGAGGGAGGAUAGAACAGCGUUCAAAGCUGCCUUGCUCGAACGCGAAAAUGCAAUAUUGAAGUCACAAAUAUUAAUUCUUCGGGAGGAGCUAUAUGCACUAGCGCAAACUCUAAUAUGAAAUGUUAAGAGCCAAUCAAAAAACAAACAUCACACUAAAAUAUUUUUCAUAGUUUUCGUCCAUAAGUAAAACAUAUCCAAUGAGCAAAAACGAUCAAUAAUUACGCCUUGCGAGUAUAAUAAACAUCAAUAUAAUGAUACAUAUAUUAUCUGUUAAACAAAAACACAUCCAUCAAUUAAAUUACCACCCAAGCAACCCUUCACGACAGUUUAUCACGACCACAAUAUAUAGUGUGUGAUAGUAACAGGUGAAAACACCAAAACUACACGUGAUCCUUUGUUUAAGCUGCAGCACAAGGUUAAUAGGGUGUCAAACUCAGACAUGAAUUGCUUGAUGACACAUUUGUAUUGUGAAAAAUAAA